rnacentral:rRNA from 1 species
CUUCUGGGGGUGUUAUGAAGUCGUGCCUGCCCACUGAAGAUUAAAGGGCCGCGGUAUUUUGACCGUGCGAAGGUAGCAUAAUCAUUAGUCUUUUAAUUGGGGACUGGGAUGAAGGGUUUGACGAGAUAACGACUGUCUCUUUGUUAUUUAUUGAAUUUCACUUUUAAGUUAAAAGGCUUAAAUGGUGUUGGGGGACGAGAAGACCCUAUAGAUCUUUAUUGCUCUACGUCUUUAUUUUAUGUGGUUUAGGUUGUAUGGAGAUGUUGAGCAAUUUUGCUGGGGUGGCGUGAGAGUAGAUUGAACCUCUCUUUAAUAGUUUACUUUGAUUGAUGAUUGAAGGGAUCCUGAAGUUUGGAUUUAAGAUUAAGAUACCUUAGGGAUAACAGCGUUAUUUUAUUUGAGAGUUCUUAUUGACAAUAAAGAUUGCGACCUCGAUGUUGGAUUAAGAUUAUAUUUCGGUGCAGUGGCUGAAGUAUAUUGGUCUGUUC